AUAUAUAUAUAUAUAUAUAUAUAUAUAUAUAUAUAUAUAUAUAUAUAUAUAUAUAUAUAUGUAUGCUCAAACAACAUCCUUUAAAAAAAAACCGAUAUGGGUCAAACGAUACUGAAGCAUCGACGCAUUAUGAAAAACAAGGAGUGAUACUGUGUCCUCCAUACCUUGAUGUGUGUCACUUUAAGAAAAAAAAUCAUGUCGUUACAAAUCGAUACAACUCCUGUGUCGUUUGACUGUGAAGCGUCACACUGUCAGAAAACUUAUUUUGGCUGACAAGUGACAGUUGAAAGUAUUCAGAGGAGUGGUGUGUCGUGUUUGACAUCGGUUUUUGUCGCCAUCAUCGAUGUAAAUGGAAUUAAGUGCAGCUGAGAUAGUCUUCAGCCCCCCGUGACUCCGAAAGGGACAAGCGGUAAAAAAUAGGUGAGUAGAUGGAAAAUUUCCAAAGUGUGGGGUCAUUUUGAUCUUAUAUCGGCAAAUAAUGUAAAUGCUCUUUUUAUGUUUACUAUUUGGUUCAUUGACGAGAGCGUCGCAUUUCAUCAUCCUUUCGGCACAGCUGUUUGUUUAAAAAAACAAAAUCGUCUGCUAUUAAUUUUAUUUGUUGGUGUAAUGUAGUCACUUUCUUAACCCAGCAGAUGCCACCAUUAUGAAACCCCAAGACAGUGUCAGUGCAUCGUCAAUACAGCCAGUGGGUGUGCCACACACUCCCCAUUCAUGGCCAGUUAUGGAGAUAGACGAUGCAAUCGCACACAACCCAACACGAAAUACUGCCGCUAAUGUUGGUUCAGAAGGCCUCCGGCAGAAUUCAUCCAGCGCUGGCAACUCGCUAGCUGAAUUCUGAUUGGAUAAAAGCUGUGACGGCACACCACUGGAUUGGGGUACGUCGUUUUUUAAUUUAGAAUAAUGUUAAGGUCUCUCGUAUUCAUGCUGGCAUUUAAGACGAGGCGAGUUUAUUUUUUAGAAACGAUUCGUACACAGGGCAAUUCAAAGUGCUUUACAGAAAGUUACAAGAAGGCAAAAAUAAUAGUAAAGACAAUCAUAAUUCCAAUCAAAAAAGUGUCGAUAAAAUACUUGUGGUUGUCAUUUGCACAAUUAAGUGUUUUCAGCUCCGAUUUGAACAUUGCCAACGACCUGUCUUACAUCUUCUGGAAGACAAUUCCAGAUUUUAGGAGGAUAAAACUGAAACGCAGUAUCACCGUGUUUAGUCCGUACUCUAGGCGCCAGCAGGAGACCACCACCCUGAGGUUCUAAGAGCUGGAGAUGGUUCUAACAUGUUAGAUACCAUAUUUUUCGGAGUAUAAGUCGUUCCGGAGUAUAACUCGCACCGGCCGAAAAUGCAUAAUAAAGAAGGAAAAAAACAUAUAUAAGUUGCACUGGAGUAUAAGUCGCAUUUUUUGGGGAAAUGUAUUUGAUAAAAGCCAACACCAAGAAUAGACAUUUGAAAGGCAAUUUAAAAUAAAUAAAGAAUAGUGAACAACAGGCUGAAUAAGUGUAUGUUAUAUGAGGCAUAAAUAACCAACUGAGAACGUGCCUGGUAUGUUAACGUAACAUUUUAUGGUAAGAGUCAUUCAAAUAACUAUAACAUAUAGAACAUGCUAUACGUUUACCAAACAAUCUGUCACUCCUAAUCGCUAAAUCCCAUGAAAUCUUAUACGUCUAGUCUCUUACGUGAAUGAGCUAAAUAAUAUUAUUUCAUAUUUUACGGUAAUGUGUUAAUAAUUUCACACAUAAGUCGCUCCUGAGUAUAAGUCGCACCCCCGGCCAAACUAUGGAAAAAAACUGCGACUUAUAGUCCGAAAAAUACGCCAUGUACUUUGGCACAAGACUUGUACACAAGGAGAGCGGUUUUAAAGUCCAUCCCGUGACCAACAGGAAGCAAGUGACCUAAGCACUGGACUAAUAUGGUCCUAUUUCCCGGUUCUAGUCAGGACUCGAGCAGCAGCAUUCUGUAUGUACUGCAGCUGCUUUAGAGGGCCCAGUGAGAAUGCUAUUACAGUACUGCUGGAGACAAAGGCAUGGACUAGUCUUCCUAAGUCUGAUUUAGACAUUAUUCCUCUGAUUUUGGCAAUGUUUUAACUAGCAAAAAGCUGCAGGUGUUAUUGAUUUAUUGUGACGGUUAAAGUUUAGGUCUGAGUCCAUUGUUACCCCUAGAUUUUAUUUUAUUUUUAUUUUUAUUAAGGAUCCCCAUUAGCUGGUUGCCUCAACAACCCACUAGUCUUCCUGGGGUCCACAAUUCAAUACAAUUACAAGUAAAAGCAUGUAAUUAUAACUACACAAUACAGAAAAAAAUAAAAGUAUCAAUAAGAAAACAAGCAAACAAUUUACAGUCACAGAAUAAUAAUUAAUAUAACUACACAAUAUAAAACCAAACAAAUCAUCAAAGGGCAAACUAAUUUAAAGACUCAGAUAAAAUAUUACUCUCUUUUUAAAAACGUGUUCACUUUCAAUGCCGGAUUAGAUUUUUAACCUUUCAGGGAGAGGGUCUCAAGGGGACUAUCAGUAGUUUCUCUUUGCCACAGACAAGUUAAAGAAAAUAGUUUUGCAUCCACACACUGAUCUGUUCAUGCACUAGCUCCAGUAAAUGAGCAGUAUCACCUAUGUCAGUUUACACAGGUGCAGUUAUCAAUCACGGUUUUACUAUAACCUUAAUUUGAAAUUCUGAUGCUAACUGUCUGGAGUUUUAUUGCAAUAUUUCAUAAAUAUUGUUACGUCCCCAGGCACACAGUGCCAAUGUUUCUUGGGUUGUCCGUCGUAAGCUUUUGUUCCUGCUCAGAGACAAAUUAAAUUAGCCCUGAUGUGCGAGGAAGUUGGACAAAGUUGCUUAAAUGGCGGCUAACAUCAAAUCCUGGAAGGUCUGAUUAUUCACGUUAAAAAACCUCUAAAAGCUUAGUGGCCACAUGCGUGGACAGCACCUUUUUAGGUCUUAUUUCCAAACUUGUGUACACUACUGAAUUGGGGUCUUAUGGCCACUUAUGUGGACACUUAUACUGCCAUAUGGUGGUGUAAGAAGAGUAUAACAUACAAUGGAAUUUGGGGAAAAAAAUUGUAAAAAUAAGAAUUAGCAUGUCACUAAACAUGAAGUACACGUUUGUGUACUUAUGGACUAAGUACAUCAUAUAAAAAAGAUGAUUCUUAGUUUUUAUUCUAAUUAGGGUCCAAUAAGCCCAAAUAGCAAAGAGAAAUAAUAAAAAAAAGCAUGUAAACAAACCGCUUAAGAGGUUUUAAACCAGAUUCAUUUCAGUUUUGUGUUUGUGUUUCUUGUCCUUCAUUUCUACCACAAAUAUUUUUUUUGUGAUUAGUUAAAAAUUACGUCACGUGACGGUUUGAGGGUUGAAGAGAUAUUAUUUCAUCCUAAAUUUAAAAAAAAAAGAAGAAGUGAGUGAUCAUUGAAAGUCAAUCUGGGGAGUGCAUGAGCAGACGAGUAUGUACAAACUUCAUUUUGUGGACUUGUGAUGUAGAUAGUUGCCAAAGCAGAUAGAUGACAGAUAUUAUUAAUACCUGCACAAAAAAGACUCUGAGACAUAUAUGUGUAUGUAGUAUGAUCAUCUCGACGCGCACGUUUUUUAAUUGGUUCCGAUAUUGCAAACACACAUUUCGGCAGCAAUGUUCCAGUUGCUUCACUUUGCGAUUAUUGUUGUUGAUGUCGGAAUGAUAUGAGCUUUUUCUAUCAUCCUGCCUUGUAUUUUAUUUUAUUUUUUUGUAUGAUUAAAAAUGGUGUGUUCAUUUUUAUUGUUCAUGAAACAAAUGUGGUUUGUGGUUCUUUGCAGUGCCGUGCUGCUUCACACAAUGCCGAUAUUUAUAUUGUAGCUGCUGUAUGUUAGAGCUGUAACCCAACACUUGAAAUGUCAUAAAAUAGGCCAUAAACAGCCUUUGAAGUCCCUAAGUGGAA